UCAGAGAAAAAUUGGCGGCCUUUGGAGGAAACGAUGAAAAAACCCGUUCUCACCUCCUACUGGAGGCAGCAGUGGGACUCCUACAGGAGGCAGGAAUGGGACCUUGGCUCACAACUAACGCUGGCGGCCACUCCUACUGGAGGCAGCAGAGGGACAGUUGGCUCAUAACGAACGCUGGCAGCCCACUCCUACGGGAGGCAACAAUGGGACCUUGGCUCAAAACGAACACUGGCGGCGUGGCUCAUAACAAACGCUGGCG
rnacentral:misc_RNA from 1 species